rnacentral:rRNA from 1 species
UACGAAGGGGGCUAGCGUUGCUCGGAUUGACUGGGCGUAAAGGGCGCGUAGGCGGUUCGUACAGUCAGACGUGAAAUUCCUGGGCUCAACCUGGGGGCUGCGUUUGAUACGUGCGGACUUGAGUGCGGAAGAGGGUCGUGGAAUUCCCGAGUGUAGAGGUGAAAAUUCGUAGAUAUUGGGAAGAACACCGGUGGCGAAGGCGGCGACCUGGUCCGAUACUGACGCUGAGGCGCGAAAGCGUGGGGAGCAAACAGG